rnacentral:rRNA from 1 species
UACAGAGGUGGCAAGCGUUGUUCGGAAUUACUGGGCGUAAAGGGCGCGUAGGCGGUCCCGUCAGUCCCUUGUGAAAUCCCCUGGCUCAACCAGGGAACUGCGUCCGAUACUGAUUGGCUUGAAUCCGGGAGAGGGAUGUGGAAUUCCAGGCGUAGCGGUGAAAUGCGUAGAUAUCUGGAGGAACACCGGUGGCGAAGGCGGCAUCCUGGACCGGUAUUGACGCUGAGGCGCGAAAGCCAGGGGAGCAAACGGG